rnacentral:rRNA from 1 species
UCGAGGAUCUUCGGCAAUGGGCGAAAGCCUGACCGAGCGACGCCGCGUGUGGGAUGAAGGCCUUCGGGUUGUAAACCACUGUCAGAGGGGAUGAAGUACAUGGGGGUUCUCCCCUGUGUUUGACAUAGCCUCAGAGGAAGUACGGGCUAAGUUCGUGCCAGCAGCCGCGGUAAGACGAACCGUACGAACGUUAUUCGGAAUUACUGGGCUUAAAGGGUGCGUAGGCGGCGCGGAAAGUUGGGUGUGAAAUCCCUCGGCUCAACCGAGGAACUGCGCCCAAAACUACCGUGCUUGAGGAAGAUAGAGGUGAGCGGAACUUAGGGUGGAGCGGUGAAAUGCGUUGAUAUCCUAAGGAACACCGGUGGCGAAGGCGGCUCACUGGAUCUUUUCUGACGCUGAGGCACGAAAGCUAGGGGAGCGAACGGG